GCGCUCACAAUUCAGAACAUGUUUAGAACAUGAAUUUCGCACAAAGAACAUGUUUAGAACACCACUAUUCUCCAUAUCAUCCAGCCUCCAAUGUUGUCACAUCGCGCCCACGCCUAUGUUACUAUAUAUUAAAGCCGGGAGUGUCGGUGGCCAGCCGCGCUGUCCACAUCAGUAAAAUAAAAAAUUUAACCGUCCAAUCCAUGUCGUGUGGUUCUCGUUACUAAUCUACCAAUCCACAGUGAAAUAUCUAGAAGCAGCUGGUGGAUGGCUCAGAGAGAAAAUCUUUGCCUCACAAAAAUUGGAGCCCGUCACUUACUUACUGACUUCCCCAAAUUCCCAAUCCCUCAUGCCUUGUGCCCGCCUCCAUCGGAGCUCCUCCCCUCCAUCGCUCCGCCCUCCUCUCCUCCCCACACCGCUGCUACUGGCUCUGCCUCCCGGCGCGUUCGUUGACUCCUCCCGCAUCACGCCUCCUAAUGUCGCUUGGGGACAAGCGGCCGCCGUCACCUCCAUCUCCCCGCAAAACUCUACCGCCUCCGCCUCCACCGUCGGCGCCACGUGUAGCCCGGCCGCCUCCUCAUCGCUCCACCAUGAGUCGACGGCGCCUUUGGCAAUCUGCGUCUGACAGAUGGGCUUCUCAGCUAUCAACAAGUAUGUUAUUUCCUAUUUGGAGGUUUUGAUCUGACCAAACAUUUUAAGCGGAAUGAAGAACUAUAACCUGGUGAGACCCUCCCUGUUAGGCAUCUCCAUUUCAGCCUUGUACAUAUGAAUUACGUUGCAGCCUGCAAGCCUCAUGCUUGUUUUCUUAAUUUCUUCGUUAAUCCAUGUUUUGAGUGAUAACAUUGUCCGAAAAGAUGUUUUGCAGGUGCAGGCAAAGGCAAUGAAAAGGCUUGAGGAAAUAUUGCAAAUCUGCUUGCCAAUACUAUCUGCGGUGUAAAGCUAUCAUUAACUAGCUUUAUAUAUUAUAAGGUGCUUCUUCGCUCGUCCUGGACACCCCCACCUAAUCCACGCCGCCGGGGGGCCCAGACGCAGGCAGACGCGGCACGCUACAGCAAACCGAAGCGAGGAAAAGCGGACGGCGGCAGAGAGGGGGCAGCGCGAUGACGUCUUGGGAGAGGGAGACCGGUGCGGUCAACACCGCCACGGGGGAGGACGAGACGACGACGACGACGCCUUUUGGCUGACACCUCCCUCUCCCCGUGGAAGGGAAGGAGGGAGGAAGGAAGAAAAAGGUGCGGGGACAGAAAAAGCUGGCGCCGCCCGCGGCAGCAUAUUCCUGCUCGUUCAACGAACGAGCGGUGUGCCCCAGGAAAAGCCGCGUCCGCACGCACGGCUCUGCUGACGGCUGGACUGACAGACUGACGGGUCGGUCGUUCAGGCAGGCGGGCGAAGCUUGCUGAGCAUCACGGGAGAGAAAGAUCCUGUGCGGCCCGGCGU